rnacentral:rRNA from 1 species
UACAUGGGGUGCAACCGUUGCUCGGAAUUAUUGGGCGUAAAGCGCACGUAGGUGGUCUGUUAUGUCAGAUGUGAAAGCCCUCGGCUUAACUGAGGAAGUGCACCUGAAACUGGCAGGCUUGAGUACGAAAGAGGGUCGCGGAAUUCCCGGUGUAGAGGUGAAAUUCGUAGAUAUCGGGAGGAACACCGGUGGCGAAGGCGGCGACCUGGGUAGAUACUGACGCUGAGGCGCGAAAGCGUGGGGAGCAAACAGG